AGUCUGACAGGAGUCUUAAUUUAUUUCAUAAUCUUUACUGUGUAAGAGUCUUUGGAGUUUUUAAAUGAUUGCUUCUUCUUUACACA
rfam:Sorex araneus cont1.363024, whole genome shotgun sequence.